rnacentral:rRNA from 1 species
GAUGAACGCUGGCGGCGUGCCUAAUACAUGCAAGUCGAGCGAACGGACGAGAAGCUUGCUUCUCUGAUGUUAGCGGCGGACGGGUGAGUAACACGUGGAUAACCUACCUAUAAGACUGGGAUAACUUCGGGAAACCGUAGCUAAUACCGGAUAAUAUUUUGAACCGCAUGGUUCAAAAGUGAAAGACGGUCUUGCUGUCACUUAUAGAUGGAUCCGCGCUGCAUUAGCUAGUUGGUAAGGUAACGGCUUACCAAGGCAACGAUUCAUAGCCGACCUGAGAGGGUGAUCGGCCACACUGGAACUGAGACACGGUCCCGACUCCUACGGGAGGCAGCAGUAGGGAAUCUUCCGCAAUGGGCGAAAGCCUGACGGAGCAACGCCGCGUGAGUGAUGAAGGUCUUCGGAUCGUAAAACUCUGUUAUUAGGGAAGAACAUAUGUGUAAGUAACUGUGCACAUCUUGACGGUACCUAAUCAGAAAGCCACGGCUAACUACGUG